rnacentral:rRNA from 1 species
UCGCGUGUCUCAGAGUUUGAUCCUGGCUCAGGAUGAACGCUGGCGGCGUGCCUAACACAUGCAAGUCGAACGGAGCUUGAGGGAAGAAGACUUCGGUCAACGGCCAAAAAGCUUAGUGGCGGAUGGGUGAGUAACACGUGAGCAACCUGCCUUGUACAGUGGAAUAACAACGGGAAACCGUUGCUAAUACCGCAUAACAUACCGAAGAGGCAUCUUAUUGGUAUCAAAGGAGCAAUCCGGUACAAGAUGGGCUCGCGUCCGAUUAGAUAGUUGGAGAGGUAACGGCUCCCCAAGUCGACGAUCGGUAGCCGGACUGAGAGGUUGAACGGCCACAUUGGGACUGAGACACGGCCCAG